AGGUGUGGGGCUCAUUCCACGAGUUCCGUGCCGCAGCAAACGCAUUAAGUGCCCCGCCUGGGGAGUACGGCCGCAAGGCUAAAACUCAAAGGAAUUGACGGGGGCCCGCACAAGCGGCGGAGCAUGCGGAUUAAUUCGAUGCAACGCGAAGAACCUUACCAAGGCUUGACAUAUACCGAAAACUCAUGGAGACAUGGGGUCCGCAAGGGCGGUAUACAGGUGGUGCAUGGUUGUCGUCAGCUCGUGUCGUGAGAUGUUGGGUUAAGUCCCGCAACGAGCGCAACCCUCGUCCUAUGUUGCCAGCACGUCAUGGUGGGGACUCAUAGGAGACUGCCGGGGUCAACUCGGAGGAAGGUGGGGAUGACGUCAAAUCAUCAUGCCCCUUAUGUCUUGGGCUUCACGCAUGCUACAAUGGCCGGUACAAAGGGCUGCGAUACCGCAAGGUGGAGCGAAUCCCAAAAAGCCGGUCUCAGUUCGGAUUGGGGUCUGCAACUCGACCCCAUGAAGUCGGAGUCGCUAGUAAUCGCAGAUCAGCAACGCUGCGGUGAAUACGUUCCCGGGCCUUGUACACACCGCCCGUCAAGUCACGAAAGUCGGUAACACCCGAAGCCGGUGGCCCAACCCUUGUGGAGGGAGCCGUCGAAGGUGGGGCUG
rnacentral:rRNA from 1 species